AUUCCUCCCACUAUCUCUGUCCGCAGUUCCCCAGGCCGUUGCCUCCCUGCCGCCGCUUUCUCUCCUGGGCGCGUCCCCGGCGAGCCGAGCCCCCUCCCCAGCCUGCGACUGCGCCUUAGGCCCCGAGCGCCCCGCCCCACCCGAGAAGCUGCGCUGAGGCUGCCCCACAGGGCGCAGGCCCCGACCCUCAGCGUCCACCGUCUGCUGCCUACAUCCGCCCGCCCGGCGUCCGACCCCUUCAGCGGCGACGGGCGGAGCUGGAGCCCCGGGCCUGGGCGCCAGGUGGGCUCCUGGGAGGGUGAUGAAGCAGGCCCUGGUGGACGAUACCGAGGAUGUGUCCCUGGACUUUGGAAACGAGGAGGAGCUGGCCUUUAGGAAAGCCAAGAUCAGACACCCCUUGGCCACCUUUUUCCACCUGUUUUUCCGAGUGAGUGCCAUCGUCACCUACGUGAGCUGCGACUGGUUCAGCAAGAGCUUUGUGGGCUGUUUUGUCAUGGUGCUGCUCCUCCUGUCCCUGGACUUCUGGUCUGUGAAGAAUGUAACCGGAAGACUCCUGGUGGGCCUUCGAUGGUGGAACCAGAUAGAUGAAGAUGGGAAGAGCCACUGGAUCUUUGAAGCCAGGAAGGUCUCUCCGAAUAGCAUUGCUGCCACAGAAGCUGAAGCACGAAUCUUCUGGCUGGGCCUCAUAAUCUGCCCCAUGAUAUGGAUUGUGUUUUUUUUUAGCACCUUAUUUUCCUUGAAGCUAAAGUGGCUGGCUCUGGUGGUUGCUGGGAUCUCUCUCCAAGCUGCAAACCUGUAUGGCUACAUCCUUUGUAAGAUGGGAGGCAACAGUGACAUUGGCAAGGUCACAGCCAGUUUCCUGUCCCAGACAGUGUUCCAGACGGCCUGCCCAGGUGACUUUCAGAAGCCUGGCCUCGAGGGGCUGGAGAUUCACCAGCAUUAGGCUUUCUUAUCUUCACAGGCAGAAAUGGCUUAAACGGGAGUUUCUACAAUCGACUAAGCUUCCGACACAGCAGAAUCCCACGAUCCCACAACCCAUUUGUUUUUUACGUGAAACAGGCCUCGGGGGAGAGAUUUGAGGGGGUUUUAUUCUUAAAACGGCACAUUUGUAGAGAAUGCCCUUUAUAUAUGUUCUAAAGAAAAGUGUACAAAUACUCAAUGAUUAAAGUGUCUCUGAGAAAGUGGCUUCGGACCACACCAGCAUCUGGUCCUUUUGCUGUGACCCACCCCAUCCCGGAGCUGGUCGGGUCUGGCUGGAUGUGCUGCCCAGUGAGUGCCUCGCUCGGUAACUGCUUGGUCCUGAACAUUCUCUCGUUUCAGGAACUGAUGAGGUUCUCUUCUUUUGACUGAUGGAGAUUACAAAACUCUUGGAUUCCUGGAAAACAAGACGACAGGCAUAGAGUGCUAAUGGCUUGUCUACCCCUUGACAGCCCUGUCCUGUGCUGGGGAGGGCUGUGUUUUGACAGGGGUGGAAUCCUCUGGCUAGUUCCAUAAAAAGACCUGUGUCUGUGAUGCCCUGAGUCUUUGAAAGUGACCGGAAUACCUCACACUACCCAUCUUGCUCAUAACCAGUGGCUGCGGCCUUCCUCGGACCAUCUAUAGAUGGAGGAUUCUGGGAAUGCUGUUUCCUUACCCUUGACAUCAUUCUUCUAGGCAAGUAAAACCCAGCCACAAACUCAGAGACCACAGCUUUAACAAACACUGACACCUCUGCCCUAACUCUGGGGCCUCUGAUGGCUGCCACUGGCUGAAUGUGGCCUGCACGUGGGUUUGGUCUGGCUCAACAAAGUUUUUAUUUUUAUUUUUUAUUUUUUUGAGACACGGUCUCACGCUGUUGCCCAGGCUGGAGUGCAGUGGCGCGAUCUCGCCUUACUGCAGCCUCCGCCUCCCAGGUUCAAGCGAUUCUCCUGCCUCAGCCUCCUGAGUAGCUGGGACUACAGGCAUGCGCCACCACACCCGGCUAAUUUUCAUAUUUUUAGUAGAGACAGUGUUUCUCCAUGUUAGCCAGGCUGGUCUUGAACUCCUGACCAGCCUCAAGUGAUCUGCCUGCCUCCUUCACCCAAAGUGCUGGGAUUCCAGGUGUGAGCCACUGCACCUGGCCUUUUUUUUUUUUAUCAGUUACUUUUAAAAAUGAAUUACUUUAUCCCUUUAUUGGGAUGUAUUUCCUAAGCCAUAAAUUUCACCCUCACCAUGUUUUUUAAACUAUGAAUUAAUUCACAAUACUCACACAUUGAGAGAUUUCUCAUGGACUCCUGGCUUCCUCGGCUAUGGGGGCCACUCUGUGGUCAUCACAGACCCCACCACCCACCUGUCCUUCCACACCCCUGGCUCCUUUAUGUUGCUUCCUGCCCCACAGGCAUCUGCAUUUAGUACUCAUGGAAAUACUUACUCUGAAUUAUACUUCUGUAGGCUAACGUGGCUGGGGAAUCUGGGGCGUCAAUGAAAAAAGACUGGCCUUUGUCACAAUUCUUACCUUAAAAAAGAAACAAACGGAAGACAAUUCAGUCCAAGAGGAAAACAGAAUGGCCACAAGAUCUUGGGGCUCUUUCCGUGCUGGUGACAAUGGGAAGAUCUUGAGCCCGCUUCACUCGUAAUGAAGAACAAAGUAGAAAAGACCAGUGGGGUCUCAGGGACCUUCCUUCCAGCAGGGUCCCCAGCCAGCAUUUCAGCGUGGCUAAAUAAUCAGGUGGUGUACAGAAAAUGCAGGUUCCAGGGCCCUACAGAGAACUGAUUCAGCAGCUUCCACAUGGGCCCAGGAGUCUGCAUUUUAAGAGAUUAGCUUUUGAGUGAAAGGAUCAUGAAUGCACAUGGUUAAAAAAAGUACAGAAUGCAAAAGGAUAUGGCAUAAAAGGCCAAGUCCGAAAAGGGCUACUAGUGUUCUAGGUGUCUUUCCAGAAAGAUUAUGCGCAUAUAAAUGUGCACACUUGCAUGUGUGCGCACACACAUACACACACUCUCAUAUACCUAAAAUACGAAUGGGAGCACAUGACACACACAUUCUGCCUGCUGCUUUGUCUGUGUAUAAUUUUAUCUUCCAGGUCAUCUGUGCUGGUGUCUAUCAGUCUGCUAGUCUUUCCCCGCCAUGUGGCCAUUGUUCCAGUCCCCUCCUAUGCACACCCAGGUUUCUCUAGGACCAUGUUAUCCCAGAGCCAGGUGGACAGGACACAAGGGGCUAGGGGUCAAUGGGGGUGUUCUCGCCUCCAGUCUGCCCUGCCAGCCCCCAGUCGUGGGUGGACCUGCCAUCAGCUUGCUCUGCCCACUCCCCAGGCCUGAGCUGCUGGCGAAACAGGCAAGUGACUGCACUGCCCAUGGCCGGUCACCAGCCUCAGGUGAACCCCAGGAGGGGUUCCUACCUAGCACUCAUCAUUUCCUCAACUUCACUACUGUGUCGCCCUGUGGGACAGGGAAGUCCAAGUCGGGGAAGAAGCCUGUGGGGAGGGGUUGGUGGGAGAUGGGGAGCCCAUAUGGCCCAGUGAGUCAGGAAAAUAGGGUCCAGAGGCAGGGAACAUAAGGCCAAUUCGCACUUGAGCCAUAACAGGAAAUGUCCUCUCCAUAGGACGUAUGCCGUAAAUGACUUUGUAACUUUACUUCAUCCUUUUCGUUUAUAUAGGGCGUACCUCAAGUAGAGGGUAUUUAAACACAAAAACUCUGUAAUGGGGCCUUUGAGCCCCUAUUCUCAGGCCCGUUCUCCUCCCACACCGUGGAGUUGACUUUCAUUUUCAAUAAAUCCCUUCCUUCCUUCCUUUCUUUGUGCGUUUUGUCCAAUUUUUUGUUCCAGACACCAAGAACCUGGACAUCCUCCGCCGUUAACGCUGGGCCCAUGAGACCAUGUGGAACUCGCUAGGGAGGCCCCUGAGUGCACGUUCGCUGGGCCAGACCUGGGAGGUUGGGGAUCCCAGAAUAGUCAUGCUGGGGCUACUUUCUGUCCCUGACUUUCACCCAGGUCUCCCUUCCCCAGAGGGCUCCCCAGCCCCCAACACACAUAUAUGCUCUAGUGUUUUCCCUUCCUAACUGCAUUUCCCCCUGGGCUCCCACCUCUCCAAGAACGGGCAGCAUUAUCAGAACAGCUGGUGUGAGCACAGCCCUGUUCCAAGAGAUCCCAGGCAUCCUCUCACCCCACCCUGGCAGAUCCCUCUCACUAGGCACCACUGUCACCUGCAUUUUACACACGGGGCCAUCGAGGCUGAGAGCGGAAAUGACUAGCCCAAGUCCCACAGCUAGUGGUGGCGGAGCAGGGCUCUGAGGCCAGCCCUUCCUGUGAUCCUCAGCACACCGGGACCAGGACCCAUAGCACCAGAGCGCUGGCAUCUGUAACUCUUUGCCACCAUGUCCCCAGAGGAGACUGAAGUGCUGUCCUCAUGCCUUCCUGUCUGUUCCUAGGAAGGUGGGUUUUCCCCCACUCUGUCCCCAGUGACCUUGCCAGAUGCGUGUCUGUCACUUGGCCCUCAUGCUCCACCCUCUUGGGUGGGUGACAGUGUUAACCACCCCUUCCUUUCUGGCACUCCCUGGCCUUGCUAUCUGUGGCUUCCCCUCAAGGUGAGCUUCUGCAAUGUGCCAUUUGACACACAGGACCAUGCCCACUAGAAGGCACUUAAUGUUCUCAGCUCAGAAUGAGCCUCGCAGCUGUCACUGGUGGCUCCUCUGCUUUGAAAUUAGCUCUUGUGAACCACCUGGAACUUUGUUUCUUUGUGAAAAGUGGCCCUGAAAGGAAAGACCAGGGCCAAUGCCAGGGCUUGGUGUGAGGGAGGUGGGAAGAUGGAGGUUGCUGGCUCUUUGGAAGAAAAGCCGUAUCAGGAUCUAAUAGCCCCAAGGUCACUUCCUGAUCUGUCAGACAAUGGCAAGGGCAGGCCUGUGGCUGGGCCCGUGGACAUAUUUGGGUGGGUCAGCAAGCAUGCCAUUUUUAAAUUUUUUUUUGAGACAGGUUCUUGCUCUGUCGCCCAGGCUGGAGUGCAGUGGUGUGAUCAUGGCUCACUGCAACCUCAACCUCCCUGGGCUCAAGUGAUCCUGCUAACUCAGCCUCCUGAGUAGCUGGGACCACAGGCACAUGCCACCACACUGGGUGAAUUUUUUCCUUUUUUUUUUUUUUUUUUUUUUAAGAGAUGAGGUAUCUUCCUGUGUUACCCAGGCUAGAGCAUGGUUGUGUGUGUGUGUGUGUGUGUAUUUAAUGGAGUUAGUUGCUAUCAUUUAGUAUCAGGAGACUUUGGGUAAGGAUAUAGAUUUCUAGCUCUUCAUUAAACCUUGGAAAAUGUGGCAAUUGUGAUGGCCAUAAGGACACACCUCUUGGAUCUCUGGCAGCAGCUGCCAUGCUCCAAAAUCCACCACCACGUUUGUGUUGAGGCAAUGCCACUCCCAGGCUGCUCCUAGCUAGUGACUGAGACGAGCAUGGCACUCGGGCAGGCACGCUUCUGGGAGAUGCAGCCCCUCUGAUGGGUAAGUGGGCUCAGGAAUGCCCUGGUGGCUGUGCCCAGCUUUCCUCGACAGCAGCCAAGACACUCCAGCAGACAGAUGCUCCAACAGACUGACAUACUCCAGCAGACUGAGAUGCUCCAACAGACUGACAUACUCCAGCAGACAGAUGCUCCAACAGACUGACAUACUCCAGCAGACUGAGAUGCUCCAACAGACUGACAUACUCCAGCAGACUGAGAUGCUCCAACAGACUGACAUACUCCAGCAGACUGAGAUGCUCCAACAGACUGACAUACUCCAGCAGACUGAGAUGCUCCAAUAGACCUACUCCAGCAGACUGAGAUGCUCCAAUAGACUGACAUACUCCAGCAGACUGAGAUGCUCCAAUAGACUGACAUACUCCAGCAGACUGAGAUGCUCCAAUAGACUGACAUACUCCAGCAGACUGAGAUGCUCCAAUAGACAAAUACUCCAGCAGAAUGAGAUGCUCCAAUAGACAAAUACUCCAGCAGACUGAGAUGCUCCAAUAGACUGACAUACUCCAGCAGACUGAGAUGCUCCAACACACUGGCAUACUCCAGCAGACUGAGAUUCUCCAAUAGACAAAUACUCCAGCAGACUGAGAUGCUCCAACAGACUGGCAUACUCCAGCAGACUGAGAUGCUCCAAUAGACUGCCACACUCCAGCAGACUGAGAUGCUCCAAUAGACAAAUACUCCAGCAGACUGAGAUGCCAAAAAGCAAAGUACACUGAGGUGCUCCAGCAGGCUAAGAUGCUCCCAUGGGCUGAGAUGCUCCAGUGGGCUGAGACGCUCCUUCGGGCUGGGAUGCUCCCGUGGGCUGAGAUACUCCUGUGGGCUGAGAUGCUCCUUUGAGUUGGGAUGCUCCCGUGGGCUGAGAUACUCCUGUGGGCUGAGAUACUCCCUUGGGCUGGGAUGCUCCAGUGGGCUGAGAUGCUCCUUUGGGCUGGGAUGCUCCCAUGGGCUGAGGUACUCCUGUGGGCUGAGAUGCUCCUUUGAGUUGGGAUGCUCCCGUGGCCUGAGAUACUCCUGUGGGCUGAGAUACUCCCUUGGGCUGGGAUGCUCCCAUGGGCUGAGAUGCUCUUGAGGGCUGGGAUGCUCCCUUGGGCUGAGAUGCUUCCAGGGGCUGAGAUACUCCUAUGGGCCGUGAUGCUCUUUCGGGCUGAUAUGUUCCUUCCCCCACUCCUUCAUCGUGGGCUAACGCUCUCCCUUGUCAUUUUCUCCCACAGAUGUUUCCCCUGACAAACGUCCUGCCCACCAAUCCCAUCUCGGCAGAGCUGAACUGUGGCAGAGGUGCAGGCUGGCAGGAAUGGAUGUGCCCUGGGCUGCUGCAAGCUCCUGUCCCCAAUCACAUCCAUUCAUGCAGCCCAACUGCCUCCAGGGGCCUCAGAGGGCAGCUCUCAUCACCACUUCCGGCCACUGCAAAAGCUGCCUGGGAAAGCAGAAAUAGUUUGCAGAGCAGCCUUCCGAUCGUUUCCUCAUCCAUGAGAGCAAGAUCUUGCUCGCCUGGCAGCCCCACGCGCCCUCACCUUGCACUUAGGACAGAUGAAGCCACUCAUGUUCUCCACCACCCCGAUGAUGGGCAGCUUCACCUUGCGGCAGAAGUUGAUUUCUUUCCGGACAUCCUGGAGUGACACCUC